GCUUCAAUUUUUGGGAUUGUGAGAGUAGUGGAGUUCGUUGCACACUGGAGUUCGUUCCUCUUCUUUCUUCAUCACAUCUCUCACCUCAACCAAACAAAAAUAUCAAAAAAUCAAAAUCAAAGAAACCCUAGAAAUUGGGGAUUUAGGAAGUGGAUCGGAGACUGCAUCUGAUAGAUCACCAUUGUGAUCUGCAUCUUCAUCAAAUAUCUGCACCUUCAUCAUUAAUUCAACAGAUUGGCUGAUUGGGUAUUUUCAAGCGGCCACAACCCUCAAAAGCUCUUACCUUUUCUCUUGCUUUGCGCCUCCUAACUCUCCCAAUCAUGGCGGACGUUGAGACCGAUGUGGCGGCGGCCGGAGUCCCGAAGAAAAGAACAUUCAAGAAGUUCAGCUUCAGAGGCGUUGAUCUGGAUGCUCUGCUCGACAUGUCAACUGACGAACUCGUCAAGCUCUUCCCUGCUCGAGCUCGCAGAAGGUUCCAAAGGGGUCUGAAGCGCAAGCCCAUGGCUUUGAUCAAGAAGCUUGGCAAAGUGAAACGGGAGGCCCCACCUGGUGAGAAGCCGGAGCCAGUUCGUACCCAUCUGCGUGAUAUGAUUAUAGUACCAGAGAUGAUUGGAAGCAUUAUUGGUGUUUACAAUGGGAAGACCUUCAAUCAGGUUGAAAUCAAGCCUGAGAUGAUUAGUCACUACCUUGCUGAGUUCUCAAUUUCAUACAAGCCUGUGAAGCACGGUAGACCUGGUAUCGGUGCCACCUCACUCUUCAAGGUUCAUUCCUGUUAAGUGAGAUCUGUGCCAGCAGUCUAGAUAUCUGGGUUGUUUUAUUGUCUUAUUUUCAUAGGACUGGGUGGUGAUGAGAUUUUUGUUCUGUUCUCUCAAUUUUCUUUUAUGUUGUGACUUUUGAUGCUGGUUACUAUAUAUGAAGUUAAUUUUCGUGUUA